AUCUUUUUUCUUUUCUUUUUCUCCCUAACCAAAUCCAGCUUUUAUCAAAGGACCUGAUAAACCCAUUCACAUUAAGCUGCACAUUUCAGAUGUAAAUUUCCAAGUUAUCUUAUAAGGGACAGUUACAUUUUAAGCUGAGGAAUGAGAACCUGUAACAUAGAGACAUGUAGCAUUUUGCAACAUAUAAAUACAGAUGGGGAGGUUUUUUUUUGAGCUUCUCAUCACCCAUAAAGUAAUUAUUCCCUUCAGAAGGAAAAGAUGCUGAACAAUCCAGUAUCUUGUUGGUGUCUCUUUGCAAAGAAGCAACUAGGGGCAGCUCAUCUUCUACCUGUGAGUUCCCAUGAGUUCAGCCUGUCCUAAUCUAGGUUCAAGUGCUUAAUGUGUACAAAUGUCUGGGCAUGUGAAGCACUCAGAGUGAAGGCAAAGCCUUUAGUAGCCCUUGCAAGAGCCCCACUUCAGCUCCUGCUUUCAUCUGCACAAAUGGGCAAGCUGAAGAACAAUCAACUCUGCAUCUGAAGACUGGGCCAGGAGGUUAGGAAUAGAAGAUCAUCUCCCAGGACAACACUCAGAAGUAGUCUGCUUAGGGAUAGUAACUGAAAUGUUUAAUAUAUAUGCAGGUGGCUUCAUGUUAUAGUGGUUUAGAUUCCCGACUCUGGAACCAAAUGCUUUGGGUUUCAAUCUAAGUCUAGGCUUUCUACCUGUUUCCUUGACACAGUUUCUUCACUGGUAAAAUGGGAAUAUCAAUAAUAUAUAUCUCAUGGGACUUUUGUGAAGCUUAGAUGGAAUGAUGACUGUCAAAUGCAUUGAAGUUAGUAAUGAAUGUUAGCUAUUUUUAUGAUGAAAUUAAGGUGAAGGUUAUGGAGGACCUUGUAAUAGUAUAAGAACAGAUAUCUCCUAUGCCAUUUGAAAGCUUUCUCAGCUUAAGUGGGACCAUAAACACUCAUUAUGUCCUAUGUCUGAUUUCUUUAUGAAUAAAUGAGAAAUUAGUUACAGAAAAUAAAUGCGGUGUUUAUAUAUAAGGCAGAUCUAGAUAGUCACAAUAGUCAGAGUUCAAGAGGAAACUGAUGGAACCAGCCUCUUUUGUUCCUUUUACCAAGAAAGAAAAACUUUCUCAGAAGCUUCCCCAGUUGAACACUGGAUUGCAUGGCCACCUCUAGCAGAAAGAGAGGUUGGGAGGGUAAAGCAUUCCCUGGCUAAGGCCAAUUAUUGUCCAUUGCAUAAUGCUAGAAGAAAAUGAAUAACUGGGUAGGCAAGUGACAGAGUUCACUCACACAUUAGAGUCCUUUUUAUUUUUAUUUUGUUACAUUAGCUAGCCCCAAUGAAUUUCUCCUUCUUGUAAUCAUAAAAACACAUGAUGCUUUUCAGAUGCUCUGAUACUGUCAGUUGCUUGGACUCUGGAACUCUUUCGUGGUCCAUGAAUUGGGCUAGGAAAAAGGCUCUUCUGCUCCUGCCUUUCAGAAGAAGAUGGAACCAAGGGGGCUGCAGGAACAGAAAUUCAUUUCAAAGUGCAGCCAGUGCCAACAGGGGAGAGUGGGCAGAGAAAUCAAAUGAAAAUGCCAAAACGCUGACUACACGGCCAGUUUGCAUCAUGUGAACCACUUUGGAGCCUGAGGACAGAAACCAAAAAUAUGCUUCUGUUCAGAGGCGGCUAACAGCACUAGUGUUAUUAUUGUUAUCAUCAUCAUCACCACCAUCAUUCGUCCAUAAAUUUAAAAGUAGGUAGCUGGACUGUGUUUUUUUUUCUAGGAGUUCUGCAUGAAGUUCAGAGCUAUGAUGAAUUUUAGAGAAAUAAGUGUGGAGGCAUGCAUGGUCCCAUAACUUAGCCCCCUCAGCUGGAACCACAGCUCUCUUGCCCCCAAUUGUUCAGUACAGCCUUGUCAUCACAGUGAGAACAGUUUUACACACUCAGGGCUUGUUCUAACAGUAAAGAAGCCAAAAAAGAAAUGUGUAAAGUAAACUGAUGUUUAAGAAUUCUGGUAGGGAAUUAGGAUUCUUUGCUGCAGAAGAGAGGACUGAAGGCUGAAGCAAGGACAACAUGACGGGGAGGGAGGUGACUGGGAAGUACAGCCCUUUAUUCCUGGAGAGGAGGUGAAGUCCUUGAACUUGAAGAGAUUUAGAGAUCAAAAUAUAAGAUGUAAUUGGAGUCCAGGUCCUCAGGGGAAGUGCCAAUUUAAACUCUGUGGGUGGGAUUGGACCUUACAGGC
rnacentral:lncRNA from 10 species